rnacentral:snRNA from 1 species
UGUGACGGAAACGAUUCGUUUCCUCUAUGUAUUAAUCGGAUUUUUGAACUUGGAGUACGGUGCUGGAGCUUGCUCCACCCUGCUCAUGGGUUGUCCUGGUAUUGCAUUGCCUCCAGGUUCGGCUCACGUUUC